rnacentral:rRNA from 1 species
AUUGAACGCUGGCGGCAGGCCUAACACAUGCAAGUCGGACGGUAGCACAGAGAGCUUGCUCUCGGGUGACGAGUGGCGGACGGGUGAGUAAUGUCUGGGGAUCUGCCCGAUAGAGGGGGAUAACCACUGGAAACGGUGGCUAAUACCGCAUAACGUCGCAAGACCAAAGAGGGGGACCUUCGGGCCUCUCACUAUCGGAUGAACCCAGAUGGGAUUAGCUAGUAGGCGGGGUAAUGGCCCACCUAGGCGACGAUCCCUAGCUGGUCUGAGAGGAUGACCAGCCACACUGGAACUGAGACACGGUCCAGACUCCUACGGGAGGCAGCAGUGGGGAAUAUUGCACAAUGGGCGCAAGCCUGAUGCAGCCAUGCCGCGUGUAUGAAGAAGGCCUUCGGGUUGUAAAGUACUUUCAGCGGGGAGGAAGGCGGUGCGGUUAAUAACCGCGCCGAUUGACGUUACCCGCAGAAGGAGCACCGGCUAACUCCGUGCCAGCAGCCGCCGCGG